AAUCUGGACGCUGUCAGCAAGGGAACAUACAAGCCAACCACAAGUGCCUCCAACAGCGUGUUCCUUUUCCUGUGAUAGUUGUUCUCAACCUAGCAACACCACCAGUUCAUCUGGGCAGCUUUAAAACAUGCAGCCUGGGUUCCAGUUCCAGAGCCAUGAGCCAGCCUUCCUCCAGGAAGAAGAAAGAGGUGAAGACAAAUCAUCCGUGACCACCCAGACGAGGUGAGAAGCUCCAUGAAAUCUGGCCUCGUGUCUGUCUUCUUUGUUGUUCUAGUCCUGCGGUCCACCGCAGUGCUUGGCAUGUAGUAGGUGCUCAAUAAGUAGUUACUGAUGGAAGGAACACUCAAGAUUGUACUUUAAACAUGCUCUUAAUAUUGGGAUGAGUCAGAGUUGGCCUGGCCCAAAUCUGGAAUCUUCUGAAUUGGAGUCUGUGACGAUGAGUGCUGCUAAGGGCUGUACAUACAUGACCUUGCUUAAUCCUCAGCAGAACGCUGAGAGGAAGAUUCUGCCAUUUUCUUCAACUAGCAGAUGAGAAGACAUCAUGAGAUUGUGGAACUACUAACGGAAAGCUGUGAUUUGAACUUGGCUCUCCAACUCAGAACCUCUAUUCACUUACCUAGUGACUUUCCAGGACACCAGGGUGACCACAGUCCCCUCUAGACCCCCCUCCUGCAGCCCUGGCUGGCUCCCUUGAUUGCCAGCAGGCAGCUCAGUAGCCGUGUGCUCAGUCACAGGUGCUGAGGAAGCAUCGUACACUUGGCCCCUUGUCCUGAAGUGGGGCUUCACCUGCAGAAAAUGGAGGAAGGGCAGGAGGUGCCAGCAUCAACUGGGAGAAUGCCAGUUCUCCAGUGCUCCUCCUCCUCUAGCCGAUUUCUAGGAGCCUUGUGGUCCAGGGGUUCUUUCAGACUACAGAGGAGGGCAGGUGGGGCUGCCGUGGUCUAGGAGGAGGGCAGGGGCAUGCCUUGCAGUGGGUGCUGUGUGUCCUGCGGCUUCCAUUUCUGCCCGCUUCUUGGCGGGGCCUGCCUGAUAAGGGGAAGGUGAUAGGAAACUGAUACCCGCCUGUGCUGGGCCCCCUUGAACCAUGUGGGGCUUACAGAGCCCCCGGGCCAUGGAGCGGUUCUGAGGGACACUGGAGGAGGGGUUCUAGCUUCUCCCCUCAGACUCCACAGAAUACCCCAGGUAGGGACUAGAUUCUGGCUGGAGUCAAGGCACUCAGACCUCUGCUGGGCAAUUUGGCCCAAGCCUCUGUUGCACAGAUGGGACACUGAAGGCCAGUGAGGCAACGGGCUUGCCAAGAUCACACAGCCCAUCAGUGUCAGAGCUGGUGCUGGUUCUCUAAACUGGAUGCGCUCUGUGGCUUCUUUGACUGAACAGUUCAUCUGGCCCACAGGCCAUCCGAAGGGCGUUUGGUGGAGGGUCCUAGUUUGACGCCUGGCUUGAAGAGCGGAUCCCUGGCUCUGCUGUGGAGGUCCUGCUGGGACCAGCCAUUUCUGAUCAUGGCUGCCAGAAGGUGGCGCUAGGCACCCAGCUGCCACUUAAUUUCCAGAAAAAGAGAAUGGCAACCCGGGAUCUGGGUGUAAUUAGGGCAAGAGGCCAGCUUUGGAGCUCAGCUUCCAAUCACCCUCCCGCCCGGGCAUGCUUGUGCGUGGGCACCCAGGGGCAGGGGAGGGACUGGAGACCGCACAUUGGGUUCCUCUGGUCCCAGACCCUUUGGAAGGUUGCAGUGUGGGCAGUGAAUGGGCGCCCAGGUGUGCUCCAUUUACUCAUCUUGACUAGAUGAUAACCAGAGAUGGAAUAAAAGCAGCCAGGAUGGGUGGGUGCCUCUCUCCAACAGCAAGACUCAGCCUGGGCCUCAGCUCAGGCCUUUUCACCUGGCUCAGCUCCCCGGCACACCCCCUCGCUUGGCACAGGGCACUUCGUCCCCUGCUGGGGAAGGGCCAGAGAGCUCAGGAUGCCCCUGAGAGAGGCUGUCUCAUUCCUGGGAACUUCCCCUCCUCCCUUCACCUUUCCUGCGCUCUCUCCAUCUCUCCUUCCUGUCCUCUCCCCUCGCUCAUCUCUCCUGCCCCUUCUUAUCUCUUUCCUCACGCUCACCUCGUCCCAGUUCCUCCAGGGACCCUGCAGGUCUAGCCCCCACCCCCAGCACCUCAUCUGCAGAGGCAAACAGGGACCAAUACCAGUGAGUUUCUAGGAUGUGGUUUCCAUGGUGACGGUACAUCUCCUGCCUCCUUGGUGCUCAGCCCUGGGCGGGUUGCCGUGGAUACUCUCACCUCACUGAGGAGUGAUUUGUGGGACUGUUUUUCUUCUUUACUUCUUCUUCUUCUCUCCAGAAAUUCCGCUAGCCCAGACAGCGUUUUCCCCACUCACGGCGAACCUGAAGCCUUCUCCAAAGGGCUUCACACCCAGGGCCACUGAGGCCUGGAAAGCAUUUUAUUUAUACGAGGUAUUCCUGGUAACCUUCUCCGCCUUUCAUAGGGUGCGUGAGUGGUCACCACAGAGAAACAGGCCAAAGCUGACCCGGUGCCCACCUUUUCUGCCCACAGUGUCCUUCCAGGCCCCUGACUUGUUCCAUGCCGCCAAUGCACGCCAACCCUCAGAGCUUCUGCUCGGCGGCCAUUUUCCUUAAGGGUCUUUGGAGAAAGAGUGAGAGUGAGAGGGUGAGGUGGGAAUAACGAGCAAAGUGAAUCCAGGCAAAAGAGGUAGGUUAGAAGAGGGAGAAGUACCGGAAAGGGAGGAAUGAGAGGUGGGCAGACUGGGGGAGCUCGAAGGGAGAGGGAGAGGUGGAGGGUGAAAGUUGGUCACCAGAGAAAGCCAACCCAUGAGUCCGCAGCAGGAGUCCUCUGGUGUUAAUGCCCUUUAUAAAUCACUCCGCAGCCCCAAACCCAAAACAGGCCUCUUCUUUCUCUGCAAAGUAGAAAAUGUGUUCGUCGACAUAAAAACAUGUUAAGUACAUUGUGGCCCUCGUUCCCCCCAAGUUGAAAGCCAUUACAAUAAUUAAUUAAGGCAGGAGAUUAAUUAAAGAGUCGUUUCCCCCCAUUCUCCCUGAGUAGAUCAAUCAGGAGGCGGGAGAACAUGUGCUACUCGGCAGACAGAGAAGGGGGGCUGGAGGGGAGGCCGAGGGGCAGCAAGGCAGUUACAGACACAGCUAGAGACAAAGGACUUCCGUGCUGGGGGCUGGGGGCUGGGGGCUGGGGCUGAGAGGAGCUGGCAAGGAGGCCCCCAGGAGGGAGAGCUUGCUCUGCUUCCAAGGACCUGUGAUCUGGCUUCCCUUCUUGGUGUUCACAGCGUGAGGGUCGCUGUCACCAUGGAAACAGGCCUGGGGACAGGAGGAAUAUCAGCUCUCUGCUCCUGGACUCCUGGAUUCCCCUCUGGGAGUGAGAGUUCCCAGUGAGCAGAGUUGAGGCCCCAGGAGGCCUUUCUGUGGAGUGGCAUGAGGGUUGGUGGCCUCCCCACUCCCGUGCCAGGCCCAAAACCAACUCCACACGAGCAUUGUCAGGCUGAUGACAAGCCUGAAAGUUCUGUUCCUCACAUGUGCCACACUGCAGACAGGACAGACUGGUAUGAGCUCAGGCUGAGAAUCAUGAGUCUUUUAGGUAACUUUUCUCAUUUUGCUAAAUUUUGAGUUCUUAAUGAUUGCUUUCUCCCUUUCACUCUCCCUCUCUUUCACUCUCUUUCUUCCUCUUUCUUAUGCCUUUGGCCAAUCUAUUUUCCAGCUGAAUUUCAUAUUUCUAAGAAAUGUUUAUAUCAUGUAGUGUGUUUCAUGUGUGCAUAGUGGGUUUAACCCAUUCCACCCUGUGUCUCCGUCUUGCUUACUUUUGAGCCUUCCAGAACUUCCCGAUUGAUUUGUUCAGAAGCACUGCUCUUAUGUUUCUCUAUUUUGUAUGAUAUUUUUCAUAUUUCUAAUAAACAUUAUAAAGGGAUGGUGUUCCAUAGAUGAUUCCCC
rnacentral:lncRNA from 1 species